rnacentral:lncRNA from 1 species
UAUAAUAUAUCCUCUGCAAUUCUACGGUCGUAAACGUAAUUGCCUGGGUCCAUUGGAGAAAGCAAGAAAAACAUAUGAGAGACUGAAGGAGAAAAGAUAACAUAGAGGAAAAAAAAGUAUUUCAAGAGUUCGAGAUUGAUUAAAAGGGCAUUCUAACUGUUGCUAACACGUUCUAUAAUCAAUCUUCAUGUUUGAGUUUGUUAUGUUUGUAAAAUGUGGUUUGGUCGUCAAUGCAGUUUAUGCGCCAUAUUGAGUUGCUUCAUAUAGUUUAUAUAUUAUCAUAUUAGUUGAAGCUCCAUAUUAGUUUUGCAAUUUGUUAUUUAAUAAAUUAGUUGAUGGUUUUACACCUAAAUAUCACUUAAAUUAUCAAACAUGAGACGGACAAAACCGCACUUCCGUACGCGCCCCCGCGCGUGCACGAACAGUAGUAUAUAUAUGAUAGAACAAAAAAGGAUUUAGUGAAGAUUUCAGAAUUUCCUGAUGCAAACUAUCAACUUUCAAAAAUCAUAACUAAAUAUAGGAAAAUCAUUUUCAAGAAAUUCCAAUUCUGAGAUGAUCUUUAACAUGUCUACUGUAACUUUCAUGAAAACACCAAGUUCAAACAAUCAACCAAAUUGCAUAGUUUUCAGAGAGAAGCUAACUGGUUCAAAAUCUCAGAAAACAGUGAUCUGCGAAAAAUCAUAAUUUAAUCUAAAACAAUCAUUUUCAAGUGAUUCAAACUCUCAAACGAACCUUAAGAUGUCUUGUCAAGACCCACCCCGAAUUUCACCCUGAAACCCGAAGUAAAUCCUGCGGGGACCACCUCCAAGGAAAGUUUACCGAAAAUUCGGCAUAACCUCCCUUGAAAAUGGGCAACCCUUCCUAAUAAUACCUGCAUACGCUUCUGAAAAUCCAAAUCCAAUCUUAAACUCCUGGAGCCUUUGUGCUCCCCCAAAUCACAACAUCUCUCAAUUGAUUUACUAACUUUAAAAAGAAAAUCUCACAACCAACAACCACAGUUCAGAGCAACUCUAUUUGAGAGGAAAAGAACUAGUAAUUUAAAAAUGAGUGGAAGCUAUAUAUUGACUGUCACAUCCCGACCCUUAUAUUUUUACCUUGUUUACUAGCCUGAUUAUAAUAAGAAUUUUACCGUUUCCGUCAUUGAGUUAAUAGUUAAUUGGUCCCUAAAGGGGUUUCGGAGACGAUUAUGUGCGGAGGAUUAUUCGUAUGAGGAAAAUACGACAACGGUAAAAAUAGUAAAUUUUAGCUAGUAAAAGGUAAUUUUUAUUCGGGUAUUAUUUUUUCGGGGUGUUUUAUUUUUGUGGGAGUUGGGUAUAAGGGGGAGUUGGACCGGUUGGAGAGGCCCAACCCUUUUCCCUCUCUUCUCUNNNNNNNNNNNNNNNNNNNNGAGAUAGUUCCAUUGAUCAAAGAUCAUAACAACGAAAAUGGUCAAGCAUGAAUAGUUCGAGGACCAUUCAAGCAACAUAGCUAAAAACUAAAUACAGACUACAUCUAAGAAUUGAAAGAACAACCUCAAAACUACAUCCAAAAAGGUGGAUAUGACAAACUAAAAAGCAUAAAACCUUCUAAACUCCAACAACGACUCAACUUUCAAUCGAAUCAGGCCUAAGACCUAAUAGUGUAUCUUUUAUCGAAUUGAAAAGAAAGAGAGGAAUUGCUGGAGUUUAAAAGGGAUCUUUUCCCUAGCAAGCCCACAACAAAUCUAGUCAAGGCUUGGUCUAAGGUCAGACCAAACAAAGGAAGAGUGAUGAAAUGGGCCAAAUGGCAAAACCUAGCCCACAUAGCACCCUCCCCUCUGCCAGCUCCGACUGUCGCUGGAGCCGCCAUGCCGCCAGAUCAGUCCGGCGGUCUGCCAUGCCAUGAUAUCAUUGCUCCUCAGCCUUGUUGUGCCGCUGGAGACGAGCAAACACGGCUGCCCCUCCUUAGAACAAAAUCUGCUACCGCUGCAUUGAUUUGAUCUCCCAAGCAUUAUUCUCCUACCUCCUCCUCAAACCCAGAAACCAGAGCCGUCUAUUGCCGCAAAGCAACCUACCCUUCCGCUGUAACCAGCCACAGAUGACAAUGAUCAAACCCAAAGGCCUCACCUUCGCCGAAAGUCAAAAGCUUUGCCAACAAACAUGCACUCCGACUCCUUUUCACCACACAACAAUGACGUGCCGCCUUUAGACCUGGCGCCGAAGCAUCCUUUGCCCAGACGGAAGACCGAGAGGCCGCCGUUGCUCUUUUACGCGAAACCUAGGGUUUUGGUAUUGUUUUUCUAGCUUUGUACAAGUUUGAGUUCUUGUUACAAUGGUAAAACUAGGGGUGGGCAUGGGACGGGAUGGGACGGGAUAGAGCUAAUCCCACGGCCCGUCCCGGAUAUUGAAAUCGGGACGAGACAGGACGGGAUUUGCGUUUUUAAGAUUUCAUCCCACCCGGGCCCUAUCCCGGUUGGGACGGGACGGGACGGGACGGGCCUAAUCCCAGAUUAAAAAAGUUAAAAAUAAAUUUGUAAGUAAAGGAAAGAGUUUAAUAGUGCUCUUUACUCUAUUAAGUAUUAAGAAGUACUUGUAACAUAUUUACAAGUACAACACAGUAUAAUAAGAGAAUUUAUAUUGCUUAUUUUCUCUAAACCUGUCAUCACUACUACGGUGCAAGAAGAGAGUCUAUAACAAUCAACAAAUUAAAGUAUUAAACAUCACUAUUAUUGAAUUGGAGACAACCUAUUAACUUAAAGAAACAAAGAGUUAAGAUCAAAACACUUAAAUGAAAGCUUCAAAUCACAUAUUAAUUAAUAAAAAAUCAAUUAUUAAAAUAAUCGGGACGGGACGGGCCUAAAUGGGAUUUGAAUUAUCCGUCCCAUGUCCCGUCCCGUUGUAUAGGGAUGGGAUGGGACGGGACGGGACGGGCCGAACGUUUUAAUAUUUAAAUCCCGUCCCGUCCCGGCAAAUUUCAGGAUAGGACCGGGACGGGUUCGGGAUUACGGGAUUUUAUGCCCACCCCUAGGUAAAACAAGAAAUUAUGAAAGAAAAUUUUCCUCUUCUUAGUUUUAGCAUUAACUUUAAUAUUAAUAUUUAGGUUAUGUUAGAAAUUUGAAAUGAGGUUUAGUGAGAAAAUGAUUAUAUUGAAAAGUAAAAGAGAGGUGUAGAGAGAAUGAGAGGUAUAUUAAGCAAAUUUGGAGGUCUUAAUAGCCGCAUUUUACUUGUUAAUACCUUUGAAAUGCUAUUGUACUAUAUCAUACUCUUGACGAUUACGCUAUUAAGGUUAAGUUUGAGAAAAUACAAAGUCAUCACAGUAAACAUCUUUAACUUUGAAAUUUAAACUAUUAAAGGGAGUUAAAUGUAAUUGUCUGAAUUUCUCAAUUUUCAGAACUUUUGUUAGGAAAAACUCCCUUCAUUUUGCUACUAGUGAUUGUAUGAUUCAAAUUAGUGAAUUGAAAGUCAACCAGCUCGAACUUGUGUGUUUGAUACUUUGUAUAGUUAUGUAUAAAUAACUAAAACAAUUUCGACUUUUCUUCUGCCCGCAAUGUAUAAGCUAUAAUGAGAAGUGUUAGGAGGCUUAUUGAUGAUGGUGCGAUCGUGCCCAAAAUUCAGUUAGUACAACGAAAGGCGUCUCUCAACAUAAACAUUAUCAUCAACUGUUGAACAAAUUAUGAAAGCCUGUAUAUACAUCCACAACCCCAAGCUAGCCCUCUAGAUUUGGACAUUUGGUCGUGCCCAAAACUAAAAAGGUAACAUUUCCUAAACUAUAUCAAUUAUUGUCACAAUGUGGCCCCCUGCUUCGUCUAUCUAUGAUAAAUUUAGAAAACAUUUUCGUGUGGAUGAAAUUCAUGUAAUUUUCUACGGUUGUUGGUUAGGUCAAUGUACACCAAACUCUACAUUAUUUAAACCCCUAGGACCCAAAUUCCUCUAACCAAAAUGAAAUCUCCGACCAAUCAAAUAAUUUCUAUACAGAUUUUGUCACAUCCCGACCCUUAUAUUUUUUACCUUAUUUACUAGCCUGAUUAUAAUAAGAAUUUUACCGUCUUGAUCAUUGAGUAAAUAGUUUAAUUGAUCCCUAGAGGGGUUUCGGGGACGAUUAUGUGCGGAGGAUUAUUCGUAUGAGGAAAAUACGACGACGGUAAAAAUGGUAAAUUUUAGCUAGUAAAAGGUAAUUUUUAUUCGGGUAUUAUUUUUCGGGGUGUUUAAUUUUAGAAUUUGGAUAGUUUAUAAGUGAUGGACCGGUUUGGGGUGUGAGGCCCAAACCCAUUCUUUUUCCUCCCGAUUUUCUCUCCUCACCCGCUCCCGCAUUUGUCACACCCCAGGACCCAUUCCGCCGUAAUAUGAUAUUGUCCGCUUUGGGCCCACCGGCCCUCACGGUUUUGUUUCCGGCAGCUCAGGAGCAGCUUCCCAGUAGGUCACCCAUCUUGGGAUUGCUCUAGCAUCAACAUGCUUAACCUCGGAGUACCCAUCCCCUCUGAAGCCGCUGAGCCACCAAAAAGCCUCGUGUUAGAUUGGAGGUGGGCAUGUAUAUAUACAGCACAUAACCCCUCUCCGUUUGGCCUAUGUGGGAUAUUACAAUCCACCCCCCUUGGGAGUCCGACGCCCUCGUCGGCACACUCGCACCACACGGCAGAGUGGCUCUGAUACCAUUUGUCACACCCCAAGACCCAUUCCGCCGUAACACGAUAUUGUCCGCUUUGGGCCCACCGGCCCUCACGGUUUUGUUUCCGGCAGCUCAGGAGCAGCUUCCCAGUAGGUCACCCAUCCUGGGAUUGCUCUUGCAUCAACAUGCUUAACCUCGGAGUACCCAUCCCCUCCGAAGCCGCUGAGCCACCAAAAGACCUCGUGUUAGAUUGGAGGUGGGCAUGUAUAUAUACAACACAUAACCCCUCUCCGUUUGGCCGAUGUGGGAUAUUACAGAUUUCCUUAAGUAAAGGGGUAACACUCUGUUCAAUAAAAUUAGUAGGUUUUUGUAACCAACAUAUAAAAUUCUAUCUGGUCACUCAUGUUACAACACAAAAUUAUAAAAUAGUAAAAAUAACAGCAUCAAAAUAAGCCUCAAGCACACUCAACUGAUGGGAGCAAUAUCAUGGCCAUUUGAUAAUUGGUCUUUUAAAACUCGUGAUUAGCCACCUUAUCCUUUGUUAGAUUGAGAUUAGUUAGAAGAUUAGCACUAAUCAUGAGACAAUGUGCCAGACUGCCAGCUGGGGACUAGUUUGUGUGGCUGAGUGGCUAAUUGAGUAAUUAGAAACAAUAAUUUGGGAUAGAAUAUGAAUGAAAUAACCGGAGGCCAGUGGACUAUAUAUCUUGUGAGAGCCUAGAUGCCUAGUUGACAAUCUGAUAUGCUAAUAGGGGACACGUUGGCCAUUUGAGUGAUGACCACUCAAAAUGUUUUUUACGAGUUUUUUUUUUUCUUAUGGGACUACACAUUUCAUCAUUUAUAAAUGUAUAUUCUUUACUAGUUAAUUGUUUUCAGUUUUGAAUAAAAGUUGAUUCUUUAUUAAUAACCAACAGCCAAAACCCAUAACGUACAAAGCUUACAUAAGACAAAUCGGUAAAAAAAUUAUUUAAAUUAAACAAAUUAAUUAAGAAAAUACCGAAACGCAUACACUUAAGCAAGCCUAUUUAAAGCUGAACAAACCUCACCUCCUACGAAAGUAAUUAUCAUUCUAGUCUCACCCACUUACCAAGCACGCAAUUGUGGUACGAGUAGUAUAGCUAGAAGCAACCAAGGAGACAUAUAAAGGCUUACGCACACUUACACAAGCUUCCACCCUACUAGCAAAAAUCAAAUAAUAGCAUGCUCAUCCCCUGUCGGGUUUGAGCCUAAAGCAUCACAUGUACUGUUCUCAUCACUCUCCUUGGACGGUUUAUGUUUGUUUUGAUGCCCAAUUAGACGACCUCUCUUCUUUGUUGCCUUCCUAACAAAGACCGAAACCUCCACCAGCUCACCAAGUUGAAAAUCCUGAGGUAUAAAAGCCAAGCUAGACUGCUUCUCUGUCCCACAGCGGCGUCAUUUGCACACCGUAACCUCCUAAACCUCAUCCCCACAACCAACCCCCAUGGCGGAUCCACCCAACAUUCCAACGAGCUACAGCCCAAUAGCCUUGGACCUGCCCAAUCCAUCGAAGCCCAACAAAUUAGAACCCAAUUGCUCAUGAGACAAGGCCCGAUUCCCAGGCCCAUUUUAUGUCAACCCAGACCCAUUUUCUGUCAACCCAACUCAAUUUUUUUUAUACGUAUGUAAUCAGUCAAUUCAAUCUAAUUCGAGUGACAUUAAUUAUAUAUAACUCGAAUUUGAAUGAUUUGACUAAAUAUCAAGUCUACUCUACAACACGAUAGUAAGACUAUCUAACUUAAAACUGUUGAUGUCAUAAUUUGGUUCGACAACGAAAUUUGACUUUUCAAUCCAUUCCGCGUAGGAAUAGUUGAAAUGUCAAAGAGUCACGUAUAACACUAACCUUUCAACGUACUGAAAUCUUUAUUCAAGAAAUAAAAAUGAUCCUCACACGUAAAUAAUGGUGAGAUGUCUAACUUAGCAUUCAAAGUCUUUCUUGGACUAUCACCUAGUGGUUACCUCACAUUCUAGGUAGCAUGAUAAGAUUAGAACAUAUCAUGACCUAACCAUUAGAGAAACAUCAUGUAAAGGAAUUAAGAGCCUCAACUUUCAAGACCAAGAGUUCGACCUCCAAGGCUUAAGAGCCUCAACCCUUAAGCUCUCUCUUAGACGUCCGAGAGUCGCGUAGAGACAUGUCGGCUAAUAUCUAUGGUUUACCCUUCACCCACUUCCCCACGUGUCAAGCUCUGACACAAGGUAUGGCUCUCAACAUGGUCUACGACCGACUUAAUAGGAAGAUACCACAUAUUGUCGGCACGUGUUACCAACUCUGCCAAACCUAUCCUAGAACGUCAGGAAGCAAGGCUGACACCAUGAUUUUAGGGAAUAGCCAUGUUGAGCCCAUACUCUUCCUUUCCACUUCACCAAUCUCUCUUCCUAUAAAUACUAAGCCNNNNNNNNNNNNNNNNNNNNGGAUCGCCCAGCCGCCGACUGCCGCCGUCCGGCCAGCCACCGGCCGCCGCUCCACCCCAGUUCGAACCCCCUUCUCCUCCUCUCCCUCCCCGGCCUAGCCCCCGAGCCUCUAACCCGCCGGAAACGCCGGGAAGCAUUUCGCCGGAACUCCCUCCUCCGGCCACCAAUCCGGGCAAGCUUGGUACGGUUUUGUAGCCCUUCAAUCCAGCAGCCUUGCCCUAAAAGGACUCACUCCCUCUUGAGCUAGGUAAGGAGAAAUUUGAGGUGGAAGUUUUAUGGUGUUUUUGAUGUUUUUAGUCGAUUGCCCUAGUUAGGCUUGGAAUUGGUGUUUGUGCUAGUUAGGAAAGUUGUAGAGCAUGAUGAGAGGAUUAUUCUGUCAAAAUUUCAUAGGUUUUGGAGGUCGCCGGAAUUGGCCUCCGGCCGCCGCUGCCGGCGGAGCCGCCGCCGGUUAGGAGAUUUUUAGGGUUUUAAGUGUGGAAUAUUAAGAGGAGUAUAUUGAUGUGAUUUAUGGAAUUUUUGGAUGAGAUUUGGAUAGGUUUGUGAAUUUCCGAAGUUUGGUAUUUUUGGCGGUUAAUUAAUGCGGAAUCCGGCCGUAGGAUUUAAGUCGUAUUUUGGGGAGGUUGUAUUUACGACUGUUGAGUAUGAUAUUUAAGUUCGGAUUGUUCCGAUUUAAGAAUAUCGAAGUUAGGCAAUGAUGAGCGUAUUUAUGGCUCUCGGGUAAUUUUGCCUAUUUUGAUUAAAUAUUGGAUUUUUGGUUGGGAAAUUAAUAUUAUAUUUGGAACAGGACGUAAGGAGGCUCGAGCAGACGAGACCCCAGAUCGACAUCAGGCUUAGGCCUAAUUUUUGAGUGGACGUUUAUUUUAAAUAAAUGCAUGCUAUGGUUCAUGGUUGAUCAAUUAAUGUUGCGGAAAUAUUUUAACGUCAUUUUAAUUUGACGAUUUUUAUUUCUCUUGGAGAGUUACCGAAAAUGGGAUUUUCGGUGGAUAUAAAUAUGUAUUUUUGAGAGAGUAUGUAUAUAAAUGCUAGCUAGCCAUAUGUGUCUGUCCACCUUAAUGGCGUAGCAUAUAGCCGCAUUAUGGUGUGACGUGAGCGUUGGACGUAAGCGUAGUAGCCCUAUUUGAGUGUUUAUGUCACACCCCAAGACCCAUUCCGCCGUAACACGAUAUUGUCCGCUUUGGGCCCACCGGCCCUCACGGUUUUGUUUCCGGCAGCUCAGGAGCAGCUUCUCAGUAGGUCACCCAUCUUGGGAUUGCUCUAGCAUCAACAUGGUUAACCUCGGAGUACCCAUCCCCUCCAAAGCCGCUGAGCCACCAAAAGGCCUCGUGUUAGAUUGGAGGUGGGCAUGUAUAUAUACAGCACAUAACCCCUCUCCGUUUGGCCAAUGUGGGAUAUUACAAUCCACCCCCCUUGGGAGUCCGACGCCCUCGUCGGCACACUCGCACCACACGGCAGAGUGGCUCUGAUACCAUUUGUCACACCCCAAGACCCAUUCCGCCGUAACACGAUAUUGUCCGCUUUGGGCCCACCGGCCCUCACGGUUUUGUUUCCGGCAGCUCAGGAGCAGCUUCCCAGUAGGUCACCCAUCCUGGGAUUGCUCUUGCAUCAACAUGCUUAACCUCGGAGUACCCAUCCCCUCCGAAGCCGCUGAGNNNNNNNNNNNNNNNNNNNNCUCUCUCUCUCUCUCUCUCUCUCUCUCUCUCUCUCUCUCUCUCUCUCUCUCUCUCUCUCUCUCUCUCUCUCUCUCUCUCUCUCUCUCUCUCUCUCUCUCUCUCUGUUGGUCUAUCACCCCAUGCUAAAAUACAUAGUUCUUACUCUUUUGCUAGGAUCAUCUCUUCACAUUCUUUUACACUAUCAUGUUGCUUGAGUACAUUCCAUUCUUCUCCAAUCUCUACUAUCAUGUUGCUUGAGUACAUUCCCUUCUUCUCCAAUCUCUACUUAAUGUUCAAACACUUCAAUGACUUGAGCGUUAGAGAGUGUUUAGCCUGCCAUAGGUUGGUCCUCCGAUAACCAUCUAUCGCUUCACAUUUGCAGGUCAUUCCCAUGGAUCUUGAAGGCUCAAAGGAGUGGAGGAAGUCCACCAAAGGAGUGGAGGAAGUCCACCAAAGGAGUGGAGGAAGUCCACCAAUGAAGUGGAGGAAGCUGCUCACCUUCAAGGAAAGGAAGCCCACCACGAAGUGGUACAUGAAGACUUAGCUUCAGCCGAAAGAAGUCCACCAAAGGAGUGGAUGAAAUUCAUCAUGAAGUGGAGCAUGAAGGCUUAACAUCAGCCGAAUGAAGUCCACCAAAGGAGUGGAGGAAACUAGCUCACCUUCAAGGAGAAGAAGCCCAUCACGAAAUGGUAUGUGAAAGCCCAACAUCAGUCGGAGGAAGUUCGAGAUGGGACUACCAGUUUUCCCGACAAAGGAGUGGAUGCAGCCCCACCCAACGAGUGGAGUUAGCCCACCAAUUAGUGGAGGAAGUCUCGGAGGAGACUACCGGUUCUCUCGACAAAGGAGAGGAUGAUGCUUACCAUCAAGAGGAGUGUGAAUGCUGAACACCGCCAGAAGGAAGUCCAAGAUCAAGAAUAUAGUCUUAUUUAAGGAAGUCGAAUGCACAAGCUCAUCGAUGCCAUACCUUCAGUCACAUGCGACGGACUACCAAGACGCGACACAUGGCCACCGUGACAUAUCUUUAGUCACUGGAGAUAGACAACCAAAACCAUGAAAAUAGUCAAACUAGAUGAAGGGAGAAGAUAGGCCCAUUACAAGAGAGUAACCCUACCACUUUACACGUAUGAUUUCAACGGAAAUCUAGUUGACCCGUUGGUGCUAAAAAACGACAUCAACAAAAACCUUGAGCAGCUAAUAAAGGUUGACUUGAAAACUAGCUUCAAGGUUCCGCAUCAUGAAUUUUUUUUUACCAACGACGUUAGCCAGAAAGUUGGCUUUUCUAUGAGCAUGNNN